GACGAACGCUGGCGGCGUGCUUAACACAUGCAAGUCGAACGGAAAGGCCCUUCGGGGUACUCGAGUGGCGAACGGGUGAGUAACACGUGGGUGAUCUGCCCUGCACUUUGGGAUAAGCCUGGGAAACUGGGUCUAAUACCGAAUAUGACCAUGCACUUCCUGGUGUGUGGUGGAAAGCUUUUGCGGUGUGGGAUGGGCCCGCGGCCUAUCAGCUUGUUGGUGGGGUAAUGGCCUACCAAGGCGACGACGGGUAGCCGGCCUGAGAGGGUGACCGGCCACACUGGGACUGAGAUACGGCCCAGACUCCUACGGGAGGCAGCAGUGGGGAAUAUUGCACAAUGGGCGCAAGCCUGAUGCAGCGACGCCGCGUGAGGGAUGACGGCCUUCGGGUUGUAAACCUCUUUCAGCACAGACGAAGCGCAAGUGACGGUAUGUGCAGAAGAAGGACCGGCCAACUACGUGCCAGCAGCCGCGGUAAUACGUAGGGUCCGAGCGUUGUCCGGAAUUACUGGGCGUAAAGAGCUCGUAGGUGGUUUGUCGCGUUGUUCGUGAAAACUCACAGCUUAACUGUGGGCGUGCGGGCGAUACGGGCAGACUUGAGUACUGCAGGGGAGACUGGAAUUCCUGGU
rnacentral:rRNA from 1 species